AAGUCGUAACAAGGUCUCCGUAGGUGAACCUGCGGAGGGAUCAUUACCGAGCGAGGGCCCGCGCGGCCCGACCUCCCACCCUCUGUUGUCUCCGACCCUGUUGCCUCGGGGGCGCCCCGGCCGUCCGCGGCCCCGGGGGCCCCCGGUGGACGCUCCAACCCUGCCUCCGUGCGUCCGAGUCUCGUCACCGAUACGAAUCGAAACAAAAACUUUCAACAACGGAUCUCUUGGUUCUG
rnacentral:misc_RNA from 1 species